AUUGUUCCUCUCUUUGAGAAAACUCUUAGUGCCAGUGACGCCGGUCGCAUCGGUCGCCUAGUCCUUCCAAAAGCCUGUGCAGAGGCAUACUUUCCUCCCAUUAGUCAAUCAGAAGGCAUACCUCUAAAAGUCCAAGACGUGAGGGGGAAGGAGUGGACCUUCCAGUUCAGAUUCUGGCCCAAUAACAACAGUAGAAUGUAUGUCUUGGAAGGUGUCACUCCCUGCAUACAGUCCAUGAGGCUACAAGCUGGUGAUACAGGUACUGUUUUUUACCUUCAUAAUGCCUCGGUGAAAUUAAUUUUAUUGCUUAUAUAUAUAUUUUUGUUUUAUAUUGUAACAGUAACUUUCAGUAGGGUUGAUCCUGGUGGGAAGCUAAUCAUGGGUGCCAGGAAGGCAACUUAUACUGUAGACAUGCAGGGGUGUGGCUUCGCCAACGGUGCCUCGAACGAGGACACGUCAUCUUCUGGCGUUACUGAGAACCUGACCUCCAUAAAUGCUCCCUCUUGUCCGUCGCAGAUGCUUGAAGGUCUGCCUGAGCAUUUGGGGUCGCCUCACGGUGGUAACGGCUUGAAGAAGAGUGAGAUUAACGGAGGCGAUGAUCCGUCGCGUGGUAAGGAGAAGAAGAGGACAAGAACUCUGGGGGCGAAAAACAAGAGACUGCUUUUGCAUAGUGAGGAGUCUAUGGAGCUGAGAGUCACUUGGGAAGAAGCUCAGGAGCUGCUUCGUCCCUCUGCUAAUGCAAAGCCUACCGUUGUUGUCAUCGAGGAGCAUGAGUUCGAGGAGUUUGAGGAACCUCCUGUCUUUGGAAAGAGGACGAUAGUUGUUACUUCAAGACCUUCAGGGUAAAAGUUCUGACUCUUUCUUUCACUUGUCAAGUCAGGCUUACAAGCGGUUUACUAACGGAUAUCUUUGUGAAGCAGUGAACAAGAACGAUGGGGAUCUUGCGACGACUGCUCUAAAUGGAGAAGGUUACCUGUAGACGAUUACAACCGAGAGAGACAAACCAUAUCCUUUCCUAAACCCCGUUGUUGGUAGCUCGCACCGGCGUCAAUCUCGAGCCCCUGAUUCUAUUCCGGAAACAUGGGUCCCUAAGUUUUCAGCAGAAGGCAGUGGAUAUGGUGAUGAUGAACACAACUACAUGAACUGUGUAUCAGCAAACCAUAAAUCUAAACUAGCAGGAGACGUCUGCAGUUUUGGGAGUGAUACGUUAUCAGAGAACGAUAAUGAACAAAGCAAAGAAGUGAAUGAUCCAAAAAAUCAGGGAGAUGAGACCUCAUCAUCCGUUGCAAAGAGCCUCUCAGACGAAAAUGAGUAUGUACGGUAAUCACUUCUCUAUUAAUUCAGACAAUCUGUUCUCCCAUAAUCCAAUGCUUCUGACACAUGGAGAAAUUUUCAUUGUUGUUAGAUGUAACCCGAACAAGGAGGUUGUGAAAGCUCGGCAUCAAGGAGACAGAGGUAAAUUGAAUUUCGUUUCCAAAAAAACUCCAUUUUUCUAUUAUUAGUGGGAUUACAGUAAGCUAACACAUGAAUCUUGGAUAUGAUCAGGAGGAGAAAAGACAAGUAGAGACUCGCACCAACAAAUGAUAAUGCUGGAAAGACGCACGCUCAGUUCGUUUGUUUAAACAAGACAUUGCUCCUUGACUCUUUAAAAACUUAGACUUAGGUAAGAAUUUCAUACUAGUAUUCUUGUGUCUUUUAUUUCAAGUUAUCUCGAAAACUGAAAUACGUAAAUAAAAGUUCAUGUUGCUUGGGCAUAAGGGAAUGUGCAAAUUUGGCAUACUUUUAGUUGAGGGGUUUGAUACGUUCCAUAGGGUCAUAGGCACGAGAGAGAAGCCAAGAAUAAAGAUGGAGGGAAAGAAACAUUCUUGUUGGCUAAAGCUUAGGUGGCAAGGCAAGGCAAAGACUCUAAUGUUAUUAGAGGCUUUGCGGUUUCAGAGUCUUCUCCUUUAAAUACGUCAUCGUUGCAUCUGUUACUGGUUAUGUUGAAUGAUGUUGUAAGUGUGAGACGCCAUGAGUCUCCCUUCAUCACGAUCGCCAUGAGAUCGUGAUUGAAUCUUCAGACACGGAUCGCCAUGAGAUCAUGAUCUGAGAUUCACUUAUUCAGCUUAUCCUUUUAUCCUUUUCGUUUGUAAACGUUGGUUUGAGUCUCAAUAAGAUCGAGAGUUCUUUACGUAUUCGAGAUUGAUUGUGUUGAUACGAGAGUUCCGAGUUACGAACUUAUCAGGGUUACACAGAUGUAAAAAUCAACAAUAUGUUGCCCAUACAGGCGUUUAGUGUUUGCGUUUGCACCUACUCUUAAAUGCAACUGUAUUUGUUAGUCACAUUACUCGCGUUCUGUCUAUACUAUUUUAAGAUGCUUUUGCUGUGGUCCUGUGGAUAAGCGCAAAUACCAUCACAUAAAAAUGUUUUGACCAAAGUUAGUUAGGGAUGAUUUUGCAGUGUGCGUGAUGUGAAAGUUUAAUCUUUUGUACUUUUACAAGGUUCCAAAUAAGUUACUAUAGAUCUAUAGUAAGAUAUUAAGACAGCCUAUAGGGCUUAAUUAUGACAUCUUUGUUCUCAUAAUGGAUAUUGGUGUUAAUAAAGUUAGUACCUUUUCUUUAAAUAUGUUGCAUACUUUAAUUAUAUGGGGGAUAAUGAGAUUCCUUGAUGUUAGUAUUAUAGAUAAACCGUAUACUUUAAAUAACAAGAGAAAAAUUAAUGUCUAUUUGCAAGCUGGGAACGUGAGCCCCAGUUACAGCUUUAUGUUGUGCAUCAGGCAUUAUUGGAGUUUCUAUCACUUGAUUUUAUUUCUUAGAUGCCGUCCUAAAAUGUCAUUGGAUGUUACUUACAUUAACAAUACCCUAAUAAUAUUUGAUUAUACAUAAACAUUAACAACAAACAAAAAUAUUGUGGUUGUUUGUUUCUCAUGUGCAAACAUGUCUGGUACGAGAUAACACUUGCUACGUUAGUCAAGAUUAGCGUGAUGACAACUAUGUCAAGAAGAGCUCUCACAUGGCUAACACAUAAAAAUUAGCCUAAUCAUAUCAAACUUGAGAAAUUAGUUCUUUGAUCCUAAUAUCAUAUAUAUGUAAUUUAAACUAAAUUAUCUUUGGAUUUAAUUUUCAUAGGCUUGGCUGGUUUAUUUAUUAUGAAUAUAUAGGUUAUCCGGGUGCUUCCUGUAAUUUCAACAACUUAAUUAAGUGUUAAGUUUCGAGAUUCGAGAUCAUUAUCAGUUGUAAAAUACUAUGGCAAGACACAGAAGUUAAUAAAAUAUUUUGAUCUUUAUAGUUGUUUCAGAUUUAUAAUCAAAUUGUACUUGUGUGAUGUCAAUAUAAUCUAACGUAGUGGUUCGGAGUUCGGACUAUACAAGUCCGUUUCAUGAAUUAGUUGUGAAUGAAAAGAAUUUAAUACAAGGAUAAGGGGAAAGUGUCAAAGUGGCCCUGGGAUGAUUAUCUAUCUCUCCUGCAUGCUAAAAUCAAGAAGAAUUCCAUAUAUUAUUUAUAUAAGAAAAAAUACAUAUGUAAACAUAGAAAAUCGCAAAAGAGUACAUAUUUUGCUGUCACAAAAAAAAUUCCAUAUAAAAUUAACGAGAACAAGAAAAUAAAAUAUAUUUGUUGCGGACACAGCCACUUGUUUCAUCCGAAUUAAUAUUACUCGUUCUGUCGCUCAACAGGAGUCGUGACUCGUGAAUUGGUGCGCUACUACGAGGUAGAAUGGGGUGAAAACUGAAAAAUAAACGUCGUAGCAUAAAUAGCUAGUGGAAAGCAGAAGCAACAAAGAUUCCAACAAAAAAACACGUGAUUAAAAAACAUCAGUUUAGUGAGAUUUAGAUUUGUUUUUUAUUUAUCAAUAAUUAAAAAAAACAUAGUUACAAAAAAAAUAAUUAAAAAAACAUUUUACUCUAUUUUUCAUGGUAGAGAAGAUAUACAGUACAUGUAUAUGAAUACCCAAAAAGGUGUGUAUUCUAUAAAAAAAAACAGUUAUAUGCAAAAUACUAAUUUCAUCUUCUGAUGAUGGUUUAUUUAGGAUAAUGUGUUAAAAUACAUAGUCGAUCGGAAAUAGGAAUACAAAUCUAGAUUUUUAGAGUAUUAGUCAAUACAAAAAGGUUCACAAGGGAAAACAAGAAGACGUUCAAAGUCUUCUCUGUGUGUGUUCCAUGCAUGGCAUAUUGGCAUUCUAAAAUUUAUGAAUGACCAAAAAGGUUAAAAAGCAUAAACAACUACUGUAAUUAGAAAUUUAUCCCAAUUUGGAAGAGAAAAUAUAUAGAUGAAUAUAUAAUGAGAAUAUAAAAUUACGUCAUGAUAUACACCUAUUAAUCAUGAGUAGUAGGGGAAACAUAUAUAUCUUAUUUUCCAAAAAGUUGAUUCCUACCAACUGUAAAUCAUGUAAAUUAAAAAGUCAAACCAAAGUCUUUCAUCGAAUGUAUGUUAGUUUGGUCAUAAAGCGGCGUGUGCUCUCUCUCAACUCAACUCAAGUGUCGUGCAUGCAUCUCUCUAUCUCUCUCCUCUUUCUCUUUUGCAUGCUCUAAUCCUUUCCUUCUCUCUCUAUCUCACCCAUAGUUUUAAUUUCACAUCGAAAAAUUAAAAGAAAAAACAAAACAAAAAAACAAAAAAUUCACCGAAGAAAAACCUCGCUGCCUCCUUCUCUUCGCCGUCACAGUCCUCUCUCUCUCCUUCUUCUUCUUCUCGCCGUGGUUUUCACUCAACCUCCUCCUCCUCUGAUCUUUAACGCGACUUGGAUUGACCACGUCGAUAUGCAUGUUCAUGACUAGUCUCUCCUCCAAUUCACGUCGAUUCCACCUCCGAUUCGUCUUUCCCUUCCUCUUAGGGUUUUGAGAUUUGGAAAAAUCUUGAGUUGAGAGGAUGUUUGAAGUCAAAAUGGGGUCAAAGGUGUGCAUGAACGCGUCUUGUGGCUCGACCUCUAGUGUCGAAUGGAAGAAAGGCUGGCCUCUUCGAUCUGGUGCCCUCGCUGACCUCUGCUUUCGCUGCGGGUACCUCGCUGAGUCUUCUUGUUCUUUUACUACGUAUAUGUUUUCUUAAAUUCAUAAUUAACUCAAUAUUAAUACAUGAUUUAACUUUUUGAUUUUGUAAUGAUUGUGGGCUAUAGAUCGGCUUACGAGACGUCUCGGUUCUGCGAAACAUUCCAUAUGGAGCAAUCUGGUUGGAGGGAAUGCUAUUUGUGCAACAAGGUUUGUUUUUAAAAUCUCUAUCUGUUUUUAUUUUUUUAUUUUUGCUCUGCAAUGUUUGGUUUGAUUGAGAUUGUGUAAUGAUGACAGAGACUUCACUGUGGAUGCAUUGCCUCUAAGCUCGUGGUUGAGUUUAUGGACUACGGUGGCGUUGGUUGUUCCACCUGUACUAACUCCCAUGUGAGUUUGUUGUUGUUGUUGUUGUUCGGAUGACUCUAUCUUCUUCUGCGUCUUAACGAUUAUCUUUUCUUUGCAGAGCAAGAGAGGUGAGAAUCCAGGUGUGUUUAGCAGAUUGCCUAUGAAUAUGCAACAAACAAACGGAGAAAGUGGAAUGAGCAUUGACGGAGUAGUAAGAAGCGAAGCUAAUCUCUUCUCUCAGCCACUAGUCUCUGGGGAUGACAAAAGAGAAGAGUUCACGCCUCACCGUGGCUUUGGCAAUCUCAUGAAACAAGAUAACAAUGUCACCACCACUGGGUAUACGCACGAAUCAUCAUCAUCAUCCCCUGCACAGCCUUCUUUGAAUAUGGCUUUGGCAACACUUCCUUACAGCCCAUCUUUUGCAACCCCCGUCGUAGACGGGAAUAAACUCAUGGGUGCUGGUGGUGGUGGUGUUGCUUCUUCUCAGUCUCACCUUUUCCAAUGCUCAGCGUCUAGUAUACUCCAAAAGCCUUCAAAAUCUGUUCUUGGAACUCCUCCUCCUGGGACUAGCAAAUCCGCUCAGGCCCGGAUCGGUAGGCCUCCUGUUGAAGGGCGUGGCAAAGGCCAUUUGCUUCCUCGGUAUUGGCCUAAGUAUACUGAUAAAGAGCUUCAGCAAAUCUCCGGAAAGUAUCCUUUUCCUGCUUAUUUUCCUUGCCAAACAUUUUAUUUUAGAGACUUCAUGUUUUUCCUUAACAGUUUCUUUUUAGUUUAAAUUUAAACAUUGUUCCUCUCUUUGAGAAAACUCUUAGUGCCAGUGACGCCGGUCGCAUCGGUCGCCUAGUCCUUCCAAAAGCCUGUGCAGAGGCAUACUUUCCUCCCAUUAGUCAAUCAGAAGGCAUACCUCUAAAAGUCCAAGACGUGAGGGGGAAGGAGUGGACCUUCCAGUUCAGAUUCUGGCCCAAUAACAACAGUAGAAUGUAUGUCUUGGAAGGUGUCACUCCCUGCAUACAGUCCAUGAGGCUACAAGCUGG
rnacentral:lncRNA from 1 species